rnacentral:lncRNA from 1 species
UCAUCGAUCUUCACUUGCAACGCUGAGUCGCCGACUCCUCCUCACCUCACUGUAGCUCUCUAGUCUCUCUCUCCAGUCUCCACACAAUCGUCGGUCGUCGCUCUCCACGCAAUCUUCGGCUGUCGCUCUCCAGUCCAUCGGCUCUCAACGCUGUCAGCAACUUGGUUGUCCUCAAUACUUUGUCUUCUUCAGUCCUCAGUCUUUCUCAGUUCUCAAUUCUCGCCUCCUCGAUCCUCAUCAGCAACUGUAAAAGGUAAGUAAAUUUUUUUUACACUAUUGAGAAAAGUGUUGGUUGUGUAACUUUCUUGUUUCUUGUUUGAGGUAUCUUGUUAAAUGUCGCUCUCCAGUGCCCAUGGAAAGUAAAUGAAUUGUGAACUUGGCUCAUUCACUGAUCAAUUAUCAAUAGCUUUCUUAUUUAUUUUUUACAGUACUUGGUUGGUUUGGAACUUACUUUUUAUGCUAACUGUGUUAUAUUCUAAAGUGGGUUAUGUUUCUUGUAAAAGGAAAUACUAAUGGAGGCAAGAGCGGAAUUGAAGCAUUAUGUUUUAGCUUUUUCUCUAACCUGGUGUUGCUACACUGUUUGUUAAAGAGUUUAGACUUCUGAAUCUUAGGAAGAAAUUUAUAGUAGUUUAUUUGGUUAUUU